rnacentral:rRNA from 1 species
AACGAACGCUGGCGGCAUGCCUAACACAUGCAAGUCGAACGAGACCUUCGGGUCUUUUGUCGUACGGGUGCGUAACUCGUGGGAACCUGCCCUUCGGGUCAGAAUAACUCCCCGAAAUGGGUGCUAAUACCGGAUAAUUUCUUCUGACCAAAGAUUUAUUGCCUUUGGAUGGUCCCGCGUUGGAUUAGCUUGUUGUUAGGGUAAAAGCUUACCACGCCGACGAUCAAUAGCUGGUCGGAGAGGAGGCUCAGCCACACUGGGACUGAGACACGGCCCAGACGACUACGGGAGGAAGGAGUGGGGAAUAGUGGAGAGUGGGCGAAAGACUGAUCGAGCAAUGCGGGGUGAGAGAUGAAGGCAUUAGGGUAGUAAAGCUGUUUUACCUGGGAUGAGAAUGACAGUACCGGGAUAAUAAGCGCCGGCUAACUACGUG